GGCGGGGCGAGGCGGCGCUCCCCGAGAAGGCGGCGCUCCCCGGGAAGGCGGCGCUCCCGCCGCGAUCCGGCCGCGAUCCUGCCGCGCCCCUGCGCGCCCGCGGCCGGAGCAGCGGGCACAGCGGGACAGCAUGGUGGUGCGGCCGCUGCUGCGCGCCAUCAUCAUGGGGCCGCCGGGCUCCGGGAAAGGCACCAUCUCCGCUCGGAUUAUCAAGCACUUCGGCGUGAAGCACCUCUCCAGCGGCGACCUGCUGAGGGACAACAUGCAGAAGAAGACAGAAGUGGGAAUCCUUGCCAAGUCCUACAUUGACCAAGGGCAGCUUAUUCCAGAUCACAUCAUGACACAACUAAUGCUGAAUGAGAUCAAAGGUUUAGACCAGUACAACUGGCUAUUGGAUGGUUUCCCCAGAACAGUUGCUCAGGCAGAAGCGCUCGAUAAAGAAUGUCACAUAGACACUGUGAUUGACCUAGACGUGCCAUUUGAGACCAUAAAGUGUCGGCUUACAGCACGCUGGAUCCACCCUGCCAGUGGCAGAGUUUACAAUCUUGAAUUCAGUCCUCCCAAAGUACAGCUGUUGUGGCAUCACAUUUCACUUGGAAGCUCUAUUAAUUUACAUCAGAUAUAUGCAGCAGGCUCUGGAGCUUUCGAAUUUCAGUGUUGCAGGAAAAGAGGCCAGCUUGAAAUACCAGGGCAUUGAUGACAUUACUGGCGAGCCCCUUGUUCAGCGUGAUGAUGACAAGCCAGAGACUGUCAGCAAGAGGCUCCAGGCUUAUGAUGCACAAACAAAACCCGUCCUAGAAUAUUAUCGGAAAAAAGGGUUAUUGAAAUCAUUUUCUGGAACAGAAACCAAUAAGAUCUGGCCACAUAUCUAUGCUUUCCUUCAAACCAAGUUGCCAGAUGUGAGCCAGAAAGAUGCUACCAACCCCAGGUGAAAAUGGGUCAAACUUCUUAUCUGUCAUAGCUCACUCCCAAUUACAUGAGAUUCUGCAAUCAAGGAUUUGUCCAAGUAGUCUACCAGACUCAUCAAUAAUUUAAGUCCAGUACUGUCCUUAAAUUACACUAAAUUUUGUUGCCUGUGGUUACCACUUCAAUGCUGUAUUUUUUUUUAUUAAAUAUACCUAAUUUCAAAAAUACAGUAAUUGUCCUU